rnacentral:rRNA from 2 species
AAAUUGAAGAGUUUGAUCAUGGCUCAGAUUGAACGCUGGCGGCAGGCCUAACACAUGCAAGUCGAACGGUAACAGGAAGCAGCUUGCUGCUUCGCUGACGAGUGGCGGACGGGUGAGUAAUGUCUGGGAAACUGCCUGAUGGAGAGGGAUAACUACUGGAAACGGUGGCUAAUACCGCAUAACGUCGCAAGACCAAAGAGGGGGACCUUCGGGCCUCUUGCCAUCAGAUGUGCCCAGAUGGGAUUAGCUUGUUGGUGAGGUAACGGCUCACCAAGGCGACGAUCCCUAGCUGGUCUGAGAGGAUGACCAGCCACACUGGAACUGAGACACGGUCCAGACUCCUACGGGAGGCAGCAGUGGGGAAUAUUGCACAAUGGGCGCAAGCCUGAUGCAGCCAUGCCGCGUGUAUGAAGAAGGCCUUCGGGUUGUAAAGUACUUUCAGCGGGGAGGAAGGUGUUGUGGUUAAUAACC